rnacentral:tRNA from 1 species
GGGGGCGUAGUUUAACGGCAGAAUAGCGGUCUCCAAAACCGUUGAUGGGGGUUCAAUUCCCUCCGCCCCUGCCA